UUGUCUGCAAGAUAAAACUGAAGUGUCUUGCACUGUUUGUUCUCAGCUAGAACAUACAGUUGGUUUCUUUGGGUUUUCUUUAGGCAAGGACGAUCAUCACCUGAGGUAAUCCUGGAUUCUUACUGGUAACUUAGCUAGCCUGCAUUUUUUCACCACCUCUUAAGUGACCCAGGUGUGUGUGCGUACCAGAGUAAAAAGUUUUGAAGAAAACCUACUUUUGAACCAACCCUUUUCAGUGGUUAUUAUGAAAAGUGGCAAAUCUAUAGUAGACUUGGAAUUCUAACAUUCACGAGUGAGAAAGUGAAUGAUCAAAUCCUGCCUGAAAGAGCUUGUCUGCUGCAGGUCACAGCCAUUUCCUGUUUAAAACCAAACCAUUCCCCAGCAAAACAAAAACACACCAGAACCAAGCAACAAAAACCAAAGCAUGACAGGAGGAAGCCUCAGGAGCUGAAAGAUGCAAAGUCCAUUGCAAAAGGUCUAUUCCUCUCUUAAUGCCAGGUGAUACUCUUAACUUCGUGUAACUGUGGGGAAUGCCUCUCUUACUUCUGCGGGUUAUAGCUCAUACUUAAGCUCAGCCUUAGACCUUCUAAAUUCUGUAUUUGGAAAAGUACAUUUAAUAUAUAUGAGGUUAUUUUGCUGCUCUUUACAGAUCUAAUUUGAAGUCCUAUGGUGUCGUACCUAAGAAAAAAAUGAGAAUAUAUGUGUGCUUUGGCAUGUUUAGGGAUUUGAAGGUAAAAGUGUCUUUUCUCUGUGAAAUGUAGAUGUAGAAAUUUUAGUUGAAAUACUGCUUAUUACUGUACAAAAUUUCUAAGUUAAUGAAAGAAAAAACCUUCUGCACUUAAAUAAUCACCAAAAGCAAGAAAUGUAGAGAAUCCAGUCGAUGUUUUUUUUUCCUGUAUCACUGUUCCAUGGCACAGGACUGAUGUUUCUGUGUUUUGAUUUGUUUUUGUUUUGGUUCUUGUUUUUUCUUCUUUGAUUGGAAUGACUCAAUAUGACUUGAGCCAUUUGUCGUCAAUAAAUAAGGCUACACUGAGUAAAGCACUUCUCCCUUCCACCACUCCUUGUCAACUUCCCGAUUCCUAAACAGUUCCUUAUAGCCAGGAAGAAGGUAAGUUAAAAGGGUAGUAGGACCUUACUCUUCUUUGCCGUUUUCAUCCCUAGGUAUUAGUUUCAGUCUGAUAUGUAUCACUUUGCUGUAUGUUAUAUAUGUCAGACAACAAAAACUUUGAGUUGUCUAAGCCUAUGUAGAAAGGUAGUUUCCCAGUCUGUAUUGGCCAUAGUUUUCUGAUACUAAUUCUUAACCAAUUUGAGUGUUCUGACACAGCAAAAUCCAUGUACAUGUGUUGUUGAAGGCUAGUUGUGCUCCUGGCAGUGGCUAAUAGGUCACACAAAGCUGGUUGCUAGUGAUCAGAGCUCUGGAGUGUAGCUUCAUCUGGUAGGUUUUAUGCCCCAACCAACCAAAAAAAAAAGUUCAAUGUGAAAUUGUCUGCUCUAGUCACAAGUCACACAAUCUAAAUUUAUUACAGAUGAGUGUAUGGAAAUGUGUAGCCCAAGCACUGUCUAGGAAUUCUCUUCAGCUUCUCUUUUCAGACCAAACAACUCUUGGUUCUAAUUUUAUUAGUUAAGGGGAAUACUUUGAUCUUCAUGGAAGGCGCUACAGUUGAAGUUUCUAGCUGUUAUUUUUCAUAGGUUAAGAAAACCUGUGUGAGAGUACAUGUACAUGCGUAUGGAGGGUACAUGUACAUGCGUAUGGAGAGCCUUCACUGCGUGUGGGCAGCUGUGUUUUGCCGUGCCCAGGAGGUGGGAAGCUGGCGAUACAGCCAUGGCCACCAACUGCAGCUCCCGAGGCGAAGGGCUGAACCGUGCUGUUUUACCUUGGCUUUUGCUAGUUUAUGAAAACUAUAAUGCGUGCUACUUUUGCUGUUUUCUAUUACUGUCAUUAAAUGUACUUCUGUUGGUCAAUUAC